UACGGAGGGUGCAAGCGUUGCUCGGAAUUAUUGGGCGUAAAGCGCACGUAGGUGGCUUAGCAAGUCGGAUGUGAAAUCCCUCGGCUCAACCCAGGAAGUGCAUCCGAAACUGCUGAGCUUGAGUACGAAAGAGGAUCGCGGAAUUCCCGGUGUAGAGGUGAAAUUCGUAGAUAUCGGGAAGAACACCAGUGGCGAAGGCGGCGAUCUGGGUCGAUACUGACGCUGAGGUGCGAAAGCGUGGGGAGCAAACAGG
rnacentral:rRNA from 1 species